rnacentral:rRNA from 1 species
ACAAGUACCGUGAGGGAAAGUUGCAAAGUACUUUGAAGAGAGAGUUCAAGAGGGCGUGAAACCGCUAAGAAGGAAACAGAUAGUGUUGACGAAAUGCGCUGAUAUUCAGUCUUGUUGUAUUGGUAGCUGGUGUCAUGGAGACUCUAAUCGGGAUCUGUGGUGUUAGCGGCUGUGCAAUUGGAUGCAUUUAUUGGUGUCUACGCGCCGAGACGGUUGUUUGCGUUUUCCGACGUGCUUAAUGAUGGAUUUUCCUCGGAAAAAACCUUUGAGCAUUGAGGUUAAUCGUGGAUAAUUGUAGCUAGCGUACGUGUUCGGCUUCGGUGCUGUAACUGAUAUAUUUGGUGUGGCUUUAGGCGGACACAUGUGUCUUGUUUACUGUCGCGGUAGGUGUGUUGGUUAUUAGCAUUGGACACGUUUCUCGGUGUUAAAGUCAGCUAGCUAUUUGACCCGUCUUGAAACACGGACCAAGGAGUUUAGCAUUUAUGCGAGUAGUUGGAUGAAAAAUCUGAAUGCGUAAUGAAAGUAAAGGUCAGUGAACAUUGGCUGAUAUCAGAUCCUGGAGUCAAAUUUAGGAGCAUGAUAGCCCCAUCUGAAUAGCUUGCU